GUCUACGGCCAUACCACCCUGAACGCGCCCGAUCUCGUCUGAUCUCAGAAGCUAAGCAGGGUCGGGCCUGGUUAGUACUUGGAUGGGAGAAACAGAGGCAUGACAGAUGUAGUUG
rnacentral:rRNA from 1 species